rnacentral:rRNA from 1 species
GUUAGGAAUAUUGGACAAUGGGCGCAAGCCUGAUCCAGCCAUGCCGCGUGAGUGAUGAAGGCCUUAGGGUUGUAAAGCUCUUUCGCCCGCGAAGAUAAUGACGGUAGCGGGAGAAGAAGCCCCGGCUAACUUCGUGCCAGCAGCCGCGGUAAUACGAAGGGGGCUAGCGUUGUUCGGAAUCACUGGGCGUAAAGCGCACGUAGGCGGACGUUUAAGUCAGAGGUGAAAGCCUGGAGCUCAACUUCAGAACUGCCUUUGAUACUGAACGUCUCGAGUCCGGGAGAGGUGAGUGGAACUGCUAGUGUAGAGGUGAAAUUCGUAGAUAUUAGCAAGAACACCAGUGGCGAAGGCGGCUCACUGGCCCGGUACUGACGCUGAGGUGCGAAAGCGUGGGGAGCAAACAGGAUUAGAUACCCCUGUAGUCC